rnacentral:misc_RNA from 1 species
CGAGUACUAGUGUACACAGUUUUCUAGUCUACCCACAGUGUGUAAUUUGUAUUAAAAAAACCUUCAUAAUAAAUUAGUUCUAAAUUUAUAUACUGUUUUCUAUUACAAUCUGGCGCACAACGUGAAGCCGAAUCCAGGGAUCAAGCUAGAAAAUCUACGAAGACAUCGGACUUCGAAGAUGGCGAUGUCCAACGAACAGUUUCAGAUGUUCCUACAGACCAUCACGGCUUCUAAACAAAGAACUUUUGCAUCCUGCAACAUCACCUACAGUGGGAAAAAGGACACGGAUGCAGUUGAGGCAUUUUUAGCAGCAGCUACCACCUACAAAAAUGUGGAAAAAUUAAGUGACUCAGAUGCGCUUCAGGGACUUCCACUUUUCUACGUGAAGAAGCAGCGGUUUGGUGGCAAGGCGCACAAACCGGUGUAGAAAAGUGGGAAGAAUUUUGCAACAAAUUGCGCCAUACUUUCGCUCCCCGCAAACCAGCGUAUAUGAUAUGUCACCAGAUCACACACGGGGCCCAGGAGUCAGAUGUCACAACGAAAGCAUUUAUUGCCAAGAAGCGGGCAUUGUUCGCAUCACUACCUCCUCCCGCACUUACUGAAACACAACAAAUAGAUUUGGUGUUCGCUCUAAUACGUUUGGAAAUACGAAACCGCAUGCCUCGAGAUACAGUUCCAACUUUCGAGAAACUUCUGGAAACAGCACGAGGUAUCGAAGAAACUCUGCAAGAAUACGCACACGGAGCUCAACAUACCGAAACAUCUGCAGCUCAGACGCGAAAAGGAAAGCAGCGAUGCACGUUUUGUAAAAAUCCGGGACACACGGUGGACGUAUGCCGGAAGAAGAAGCGUGUUGAAAGUUCAGUUUCGGUAGUGGCAAAAGAUGUUGCUGAAAUUCAGACGCAGGCACCAUCUCCAUCACAACCCAAAGAACAAUGUUCAUUUUUGACCUGACUAUGUAUAGAAAUCAAAUAAAUAUUAAAAUGUAGCUUAUUGUUUUGUGUAUUGAUUACGCUUAUCACAAUAUUAGAAGAAACGCAGGAAAAAAAGUUUUUUAACAUUUAAUCACGUAACAUUUGUUCUAUGGCAUAACGUAUUAACAUAUUUUGAACGCAUCCAAAUCAUCCUUCUUUAAAACGUUCCAUUUUACACUUUGCUGUUUGACUUUAUUUAACUGUGUUUCUGAGUUUUAUGGUUAUUUCACGAUUAAUUUGAUCAGUAAGUAUUUAUUUAUUAGUCAUGGGAUAAAAUAAAUUAUUUAAUAAAUAACACAAUAAUUAAAUUAAAUUAAUUAUGCAGUGUUUCAUUUAGUGGCCGCAAGUGAAAUGGAUUUUUUGACAUUUGAUUGACAGUUGACAGUUCUGUGAUUUGCAUCGGCGCAGUCCUUCGUUGUUGCGCUUGCGUUUCGUUGUGUACUGUGCUAUUUCGUGUGUGUUUCUUCUUAUUACGACCCUAUUUACCACCCCUUGACGCCGAUAUCUUCCUCAUCUGACGACCUUUGCUUACCAUACCUGACACCGUUAUAAAUCCGCCCUGUUGACAAUUGGUUGACAAUGCCGCCAUCAGCAAGUCGACGUAUACUUUGCAUAAACUGCAAUGUCUGUAUAAAUACGUUCCGACGUUAUCUCGUUCAAGAGCUGAACACAAGGGUUAUUUCGUUACUUAGCGAGUGGAUAUCACCAGUAAUUAUUACUGAGGACGAUUACAUUUGUGAACCUUGUAAUGAACUCCUCAUGAGGAGCAUAAACCAGCAAUUAACAACAAGCUGUGAUGGUGCUCAAGCUUCUGGGUCAUCUCAACUUGGACGUAGACAAGUGGGCAGUAUUUGUGGACGGUCUACACUUAAUCGUCAGAGCCAUGCUAUUGUUAUUGACAAUCCUUCAGAAGAGCAAAGACAGAUUAAUGCUGUUAUACAAACAAGAAUUGCGCCACGUCAGAUAUCAUCAUGUGAUAGAAUAUGCCAUGCAUGCUGGAUGAGUUGCAAGCGUGCUGCCAUACGUAUUGAGCAUGCUGAUGAUGCCCGUGGAGUUGCUACUACUGAAGAAGUUCAAGUUGAAACAGGUGACUCUGAGCUAAUCACUGCUGAACCAGUUCAUGAAAGUCUAGAUCUGCCUUCUGUAGUUGCACCUAGUGAAAUAAUGUUGGAAAAUUAUAGACGGGCAGCAAAUACUGCUUCUCACUGCCUUUUCCCUCGAUGUAAUAAUAUUAAUUUGCACAAUAUGGCAGAUUCAUUUAGAGCAACAAUACUCAGUACAUAUCAAUAUUAUAUCCCUGUGCACAGCCGUGUUUGUACAGAACAUAGACUAAGUAACCAGUGGAGUAAUCUGUACAAUUCAAGUAAAGGUGUGUCCAAACAUAAAGCGGCAUUCGAGCGCGGCUGCCGCGCGCGGCUUGCCGCGCUAUGAUUGGACGAUUGCCGCGCGCGGCAGCCGCGAGCUACCUGCCGCGCGCGACGAUCGCCGCGAACGGUGUUAGUGUUGGUUCGCCAGUGGUUGUGUGUGGACGGACGUAUUUUAUCAAAUAAAAUGGAUAAUGAAACAGCAAUUCGUCUUAUUGAAAUUUAUGGCUCCCAUAGUCCAUUAUGGGACACUAGACGUAAAGAAUAUCACAAUAAUAAUGUGAGAGAAGAUCUAUGGGAUGAAAUAGCAAAAACAUUCGUACAACCAAAAGCAGCUUUAAAAUUGAAAAUGAAAAGUCUUUUGAGUUCUUAUAGAAGGGAGAGAAACAGAGAAAAAACAAGUAAUGUCACCGGUUGUGGUAGAAACAAGGCCUAUAAAUCUAAAUGGUUUGCUUAUGAAGCAUUUAGUUUUUUACAUGACAGGAAUAACCCUAUUGAUGCAGUGGUAAGUACCUAUUUCUUUUAUAUUUUUAUUA